rnacentral:rRNA from 1 species
GUCUACAGCCAUGCUACCCUAAACAAGUCCAAUCCCAACUGAUCUUGGAAGCUAAGCAGGGUCAGGCCCGGUUAGUACAUGGAUGGGAAACCACCUAGGAAGACCAGGUACUAUAGGCG